rnacentral:rRNA from 1 species
CCCUUAGAUGUUCUGGGCCGCACGCGCGCUACACUGAUGCAUUCAACGAGUUCCUACCUUGGCCGAGAGGCCUGGGCAAUCUUUUGAACUUGCAUCGUGAUAGGGAUAGAUUAUUGCAAUUAUUAAUCUUGAACGAGGAAUUCCUAGUAAACGCAGAUCACCAAUCUGCAUUGAUUACGUCCCUGCCCUUUGUACACACCGCCCGUCGCACCUACCGAUUGAAUGGUCCGGUGAAGCCUCGGGAUUGUGGUUAGUUUCCUUCAUUGGAAGUUAGCCGCGAGAACUUGUCUAAACCUUAUCAUUUAGAGGAAGGUGAAGUCGUAACA